rnacentral:ribozyme from 1 species
UGCCCAGCAACUCCUAUCCCUACCUCCAAGUGGCACCGGCCGAACUGCGAGCAACUUUAGGAAAGAUCGGGUAACCAACCCCGGUGGGAACUUUGAUCGUAGGCUGACAGGAAAGG